AUUAAUCAAGAAAGUUUGACAACUCAUUUGGCGUUUUUUCUUGCCAUGGAGUUUCGAAUUUCUAUAUAUUAACACUUAGAAAUUUUGUGCUCGUAGUGCUGUUUUACGUUUUCUUUUAGUUCUUUUGAGCAGUGAAGUCUUUUGCCGUCUCUCCGAUGCAGGGGCUUUCAUUUUUGUCCUAAAAAAAGAUAAUCUUUUGAACAAUUCUUUUUUUUUUUAAAUCUUUAAAAUAUUAAUCUCUGGAACAAUUUGAGGUGUACUUGAUCAUAGCUUUACACUGUGGUUACGGUUUUGUUUUCACUCACUAAGUAGAAUUCUUCUUAGAGCAAAAUCUAUAUGCACUUUUCAUUUGUCAUACAAUUAUGGAAUUUUGAUGAUCAUUAAUUGGGCAUGUGAUUAUCAUUCUUAAAUCAUUUUGGAGAAAGUAACUGGGGAUCAAUGCUAGGGCUCUUCCUGGGUUAUUCGUGAUGUUGAGUUAUAAAAUCAUCUAUUUCAUUAACAAUCUGAAUGUAUCUGGUUUAAUUGUUUUUUAUAGGUUUGGUAGGCUAUGGAGCAUUCAUUACUUUUUUGAUAUUUUUUUUUUGAAUUUCAUUUUAAUUUGAGAAAUUUUCUCCGCAUCAUUAUCAGAAUGUUCAGUGACAUUUGUGGUUGUCAUUGCCAAUCUAAUCUGAUUGACAUUUUACAUAAAUUAAUGAUAUGGCAGAGACACAAUGCACUUUUGGAGAGUCCAACUGGAACUGGAAAAACUUUGUGUCUUCUCUGUGCCACACUAGCUUGGCGGAAGAGUUUGGGAAAUUUCUCAACUGGUAAGGAUGAAAAGAUCUGUCAGAUUUCAAGGAGCAACUCAGACAUGGAAUUAUCAGAGUCUGGAACUGCUAAUCUUCCAACUAUUUUAUAUACAUCGCGUACUCAUAGCCAGCUCAGACAAGUGAUACAAGAGCUGAAAAGAACCAACUACAGGUGAAAAUUAAUUGCCUAUAUGAU
rnacentral:lncRNA from 1 species